rnacentral:lncRNA from 1 species
AAGCCGAAAAAAAAUAAAUACGGACAAACGGGUCUUUAGUUUCUUACCACAACACCUUCUUCUCCUCUUUAUAAAAUGUGCCCCCACCCUUCAACUUCCCUUGUCCUCACACAUUAGACCCUCAGCUGCCUAAGCUCCACAUCUCUCUCCUCCAUUGAUAAUGUUUAGAGUUAUACUAAACCUUUUUCUCUUAUUCCUUUUGUUUCAGUUUCGAUCUAACAAUGCUUCUUCCCCUACAGCACAAACUCUUGAGCUGCAAAAUCCUAACUACUUCAACCCAAAGCUGCCGCCUAUGACACUCUCUUCCUCAAAAAAGUUCGAGGGAUCAUCAGACCUGGUAAACCUCCGUUACCAUAUGGGUCCAGUUCUCUCUUCUCCGAUCAAUAUCUACCUCAUUUGGUACGGCAAGUGGGCCCCAUCACAGCAACUCCUCAUUAAAGACUUCCUUCUCUCCGUUUCCACUUUCAACCACCGCGCUGCUCCUUCUCCUUCCGUCGCGGAGUGGUGGAGCACAGUGUCCUUGUACACUGACCAGACCGGAGCUAACAUCUCCCGCUCCGUACUCAUCGCCGGGGAAUACUCUGACAAUAAGUAUUCUCAGGGGAAAAACCUUAAUCGUCUCUCCAUUCAAGACGUCAUCGCCGAAGCCGUUCGAUCAAAACCGUUCACCGUCGAUCAUAAAAAAGGGAUCUACCUCGUGUUAACUUCAGUCGACGUUACGAUGCAGGACUUUUGUCGAGCAGUUUGUGGGUUUCACUACUUCACCUUCGCAUCGAAAGUGGGUUACACGCUUCCGUACGCUUGGGUCGGCAACUCCGGG